rnacentral:rRNA from 1 species
UAACGUUGGCCCGUAAUCCGGGUUGCGGACAGUGUCUGGUGGGUAGUUUGACUGGGGCGGUCUCCUCCUAAAGAGUAACGGAGGAGCACGAAGGUUGGCUAAUCCUGGUCGGACAUCAGGAGGUUAGUGCAAUGGCAUAAGCCAGCUUGACUGCGAGCGUGACGGCGCGAGCAGGUGCGAAAGCAGGUCAUAGUGAUCCGGUGGUUCUGAAUGGAAGGGCCAUCGCUCAACGGAUAAAAGGUACUCCGGGGAUAACAGGCUGAUACCGCCCAAGAGUUCAUAUCGACGGCGGUGUUUGGCACCUCGAUGUCGGCUCAUCACAUCCUGGGGCUGAAGUAGGUCCCAAGGGUAUGGCUGUUCGCCAUUUAAAGUGGUACGCGAGCUGGGUUUAGAACGUCGUGAGACAGUUCGGUCCCUAUCUGCCGUGGGCGCUGGAGAACUGAGGGGGGCUGCUCCUAGUACGAGAGGACCGGAGUGGACGCAUCACUGGUGUUCGGGUUGUCAUGCCAAUGGCACUGCCCGGUAGCUAAAUGCGGAAGAGAUAAGUGCUGAAAGCAUCUAAGCACGAAACUUGCC